rnacentral:precursor_RNA from 15 species
UGCCACAACUAUUCUAUUCUUUAUUUCACCAGACUAUCUAGGAAAUAUUGAACUAAUACAAAUUUUAGUUCAAUAUACCGGAUGGUCUGGUGAAAGCAACAUGCGUUGUAAGUUCUUUUU